rnacentral:rRNA from 1 species
CGGUCUGGAAAGGCCCGCCAAAGACGGUAACAGCCCGGUAGUUGAAAUGGCUUUCCCUCCAGAGUGGAUCCUGAGUACGGCGGAACACGUGAAAUUCCGUCGGAAUCCGGGAGGACCAUCUCCCAAGGCUAAAUACUCCCUAGUGACCGAUAGUGAACCAGUACCGUGAGGGAAAGGUGAAAAGCACCCCGGAAGGGGAGUGAAACAGUUCCUGAAACCGUGUGCCUACAAGUAGUUAGAGCCCGUUAAUGGGUGAUAGCGUGCCUUUUGUAGAAUGAACCGGCGAGUUACGAUUUGUUGCAAGGUUAAGCGGAAAAAGCGGAGCCGUAGCGAAAGCGAGUCUGAAUAGGGCGCAUAAGUAACAGGUCGUAGACCCGAAACCAGGUGAUCUACCCAUGUCCAGGAUGAAGGUAAGGUAAUACUUACUGGAGGUCCGAACCCACGCACGUUGAAAAGUGCGGGGAUGAGGUGUGGGUAGCGGAGAAAUUCCAAUCGAACUUGGAGAUAGCUGGUUCUCUCCGAAAUAGCUUUAGGGCUAGCCUCGAGGUAAAGAGUCAUGGAGGUAGAGCACUGUUUGGACUAGGGGCCCUUCUCGGGUUACCGAAUUCAGAUAAACUCCGAAUGCCAUGUACUUAUACUCGGGAGUCAGACUGCGAGUGAUAAGAUCCGUAGUCGAAAGGGAAACAGCCCAGACCACCAGUUAAGGUCCCCAAAUAUAUGUUAAGUGGAAAAGGAUGUGGGGUUGCUUAGACAACCAGGAUGUUGGCUUAGAAGCAGCCACCAUUGAAAGAGUGCGUAAUAGCUCACUGGUCGAGUGACCCCGCGCCGAAAAUGUACCGGGGCUAAACAUAUUACCGAAACUGUGGAUGAACCUCUUUAGAGGUUCGUGGUAGGAGAGCGUUCUAAGGGCGGUGAAGUCAGACCGGAAGGACUGGUGGAGCGCUUAGAAGUGAGAAUGCCGGUAUGAGUAGCGAAAGAAGGGUGAGAAUCCCUUCCACCGAAUAUCUAAGGUUUCCUGAGGAAGGCUCGUCCGCUCAGGGUUAGUCGGGACCUAAGCCGAGGCCGAUAGGCGUAGGCGAUGGACAACAGGUAGAGAUUCCUGUACCAGUGCUAAUUGUUUAACCGAUGGGGUGACACAGAAGGAUAGGGAAUCGCACGAAUGGAAAUGUGCGUCCAAGCAGUGAGUGUGAGAAGUAGGCAAAUCCGCUUCUUGCGAAGCAUGAGCUGUGAUGGGGAAGGAAAUUAAGUACGGAAGUUCCUGAUUUCACGCUGUCAAGAAAAGCCUCUAGGAAGAGUAGUACUGCCCGUACCGCAAACCGACACAGGUAGAUGAGGAGAGAAUCCUAAGGUGAGCGAGAGAACUCUCGUUAAGGAACUCGGCAAAAUGACCCCGUAACUUCGGGAGAAGGGGUGCUCUAUUAGGGUGCAAGCCCGAGAGAGCCGCAGUGAAUAGGCCCAGGCGACUGUUUAGCAAAAACACAGGUCUCUGCAAAACCGUAAGGUGACGUAUAGGGGCUGACGCCUGCCCGGUGCUGGAAGGUU